rnacentral:tRNA from 1 species
GCCCGGAUGGCGGAAUGGUAGACGCAGGGGACUUAAAAUCCCCUAUCCGCAAGGGUGUGAAGGUUCGAGUCCUGCUCCGGGCACCA